rnacentral:rRNA from 1 species
UACGUAGGGUGCAAGCGUUGUCCGGAAUUAUUGGGCGUAAAGAGCUCGUAGGCGGUUUGUCGCGUCUGCUGUGAAAACUCGGGGCUUAACCCCGGGCCUGCAGUGGGUACGGGCAGACUAGAGUGCGGUAGGGGAGACUGGAAUUCCUGGUGUAGCGGUGAAAUGCGCAGAUAUCAGGAGGAACACCGGUGGCGAAGGCGGCAUCCUGGACCGAUAUUGACGCUGAGGCGCGAAAGCUAGGGGAGCAAACGGG